GCGCCAUAUUACCUCCACAGUAACCGGAUACACGUGACCUCCACAGUAGCCGGAAGUACGUGACCUCCACAGUAGCCAGAAACACGUAUGGAUACCGUGGAAGUCUUGCAAGUGGAUCGCAAAGAUGCACAUAUCAAUCUGGAAUUCGGGCUUAAAGCCAGAAUUGCAGGAAUGCAACACGUGUUGCAGAGGACUCUUUCACUGCCCUCUGUGUCCCACUUUCAGCCCUACUGUCAGGGCAAAGAUUGAGGAGCAUCUAAGUGUGCAUAUAAAAAAUGCUUUGCAUUUCAACGAUAAACUGAUAUGCCGGUGCAGGCUGCCUUGUAGGACAACAGGACACUUUCACUGCCCUGUCUGUAAGAUUACAAUCAGACGGCGUGGGGAUAUGGCAAGGCAUUUAUUGUCUUGUCAGCAUUCUUCAAUGCCAAGUCAGCCACCAUCAUCAGGACCGCUCCCUGCUGAACUCUCCAAGGAGACCCGUAUUCCUCCGGCAGCACUCCUCGAGGAGCCCCGUCUCCCUCCGGCAGCACUCUCCAAGGAUACCCGUCUCCCUCUGGCAGCACUCUUCGAGGAGCCCCGUCUCCCCCCCGCAGCACUCACCGAGGAGACCCGUAUUCCUCCGGCAGCACUCUCCGGGGAGAUCCGUCUCCCCCCGGCAGCACUCUCCGAGGAGCCCUGUCUCCCUCCAGCAGCACUCUUUGAGGAUACCCGUUUCCCUCCGGCAGCACUCUCCGAGGAUACCCGUCUCCCUCCGGCAGCACUCUCCGAGGAUACCCGUCUCCCUCCGGCAGCACUCUUCAAGGAGCCCCGUCUCCCCCCCGCAGCACUCACCGAGGAGACCCGUAUUCCUCCGGCAGCACUCUCCGAGGAGACCCGUCUCCCCCCCAAUGUUUUGUCUUCGGUAUCUGAACCAUUUUCUGAAUCUUUGUUAGAACAUUCAUAUGCUCUACCCUCUGUGUUCAAUAAAAUUGCAGCUUAUGGAAAGUCCAUGAAAAUGACAUGCCCUCACUGUGGCCUUACUCUUCGUACAAAAAACUACAAGGCUCACAUGAUGAGGAAGCACUCCAACCAAUCAAUAGAUGUUUGCCUGGCCAGUCAUCUGCAGUGUGUUUGUGUAGAUGAAACUACAGGGUUAUUUGCUGUGCAGAGAACUGGUCAUGGGUUCUCUGUGCCAGUUCACGUUCAGAGGAAAACAUGGGGGAUGUCUCACAAUAUCAGAUGUGAGCUGGAGGAAUGUCAGCAAUACCAGUUGCUGGCCCAGCGGGGCGGACUAGGCUUCAGUUUAUGUGAGCACCUUCGCUCACUAGAUUACUGCCAAGAAACUGUAAAGGAGGAUUUUCUUCAAGAGCACAUCGUGAUGGAAAUGGUGGACCUUAAAUUUUUUGGAGAGGCCAAAGCUGCUACAUGUAUAAAGAGCUGCCCAGAUGGCACAUGCUCCACUUUGUGUGAGGGUGGAUUUUGGUGGAUCCUCAACACAGAUCUGUUUGUCUGUAUUUGAGCCGGAAAUACACAGUUUCUGCCGUCUUGGCAGAAUAUUUGUGACUUACAAUGCUCUGAGGAACACCUGGCAUGGUACUUGUGCAAAGCCACGAAUAUCAUGUCCUCAUAAAAACAUAGCUAAAUGGAAUCUCUUCCAGACACAGAGAGACAUCUUCAAAUCAACUGUACCACUAUCAUAAAGCACCCCAUCACAGAUGACUCAGGAGAGUUCUUCCUUUGAGGACAAUGCUGCCGUCGAACAGAGUAUACGCUAUAUUUUUAAAGAGAAAAAAAUUCCUGGAUCUCUUCCAGAAAAUGUCAUCUCACAGAAAAUGGAUCAUCAGAAACAGCUCUUUCCGUGUGAAACGUUGUGCCAGGUGUGCCCAGAGCACCCAAAACUUGAUGAGGCUGUUCUAAUUACCAAUAAAGCGAGGAUUGUCAGCAUGAUGGGAGUGAUUGAGAAUGUUUCAACACACCAUAGAUCGUGUCCUCAGUGCCACAUGGUCUACAGAUACCAGGAGUGGACAGAUGGGCUUCACAACUUUGACAACCACGUUGUUUUGGCUCUUGAACUCUGCCUUUUUUUGAGAGAAAAUCUGCAGAACCAUGUAUCCGCUUCAAGGGUCAUUGACUCAUUGGAGGGCUUAAGAAGAGUGAAGUUUCCUUCUAGGGAUACCAUUUUUCAUGCUUAUUGCCAUUUUGAGGCUUUGACUGACACAGACUACAUGUACUCCUGCAUAAACUGUGGGUUUCACCCCCCUGUGGUAGUUAUGGACUUACACAGAAAAGGGGUGUUCAAGUUAGCAGUGAGCGACCUCAAAGCCCCUCUGGAAGACUUCAAUGGUGAACAUGACAUUGAAGGUUUUUGGAACUCUAUUCACCUGGAAAUGAUAAGCCGUGGGUUUUUUCCAAUUUUCCCUAAUUACUGUCAGGUUGGAGUGGUGAGAAAAUUGUGUAAAGCAUGCAACAUUGACUCCAAAGGCUCCCGCUUUGAUCUCAUCACCAGACUGAGGGAGAAGAUGAAGAGCAGGCAGACAUAUGAUAAGGUCUUUCAAAGCAUAUGGGCUGCCUCUGGAGGAUGGUCUGUAAUACUAUGUCCACAUGGCAUUGUAUACAGUGUUAAAUUUAAUCUUCGUGCUGAAAGUCCCCGGGAUUUUGCUGACCUUCUCCUGUCCUGGAAGCACAUGCCAAACGUCUGUGUUUACGAUUUUGCGAGGGGUUUGGCGGCACACACCAAUUUGCGGGUUCCUGAUAAACUGCCAUGUCAUCCACAUGAGGGCCGACUGGCUGAGCCCACUGAGGAAAAUGUCAAGGCUGCACAGGAUGGAAGCCUGAAAGUGAAUCUUCCAUGGCUACAUGAAAGGAUGGACGGUGUAAAUGAAAAUCCUCAUCCUGUCACUGGAUCAUCUGACCAUUAUCUCCUGUAUGACAGAUUUCAUGAGGGAAAUACAAAAAAUCCCAAGGACAUAUUACGCAGAAUUCAACUUGUCCCAGAGCUGAAAGGCUGGCUGAACAGUCAAGUUGUUGAACAGUUCUUUGCAAACAUGAGGAAAAGCAAUUACUUUUUAAGUAAUAUGAGUCCAUCCACACAUGUGUUUUUGAUGAGAAAUAUAACUCAUCAUUAUAACACUGUCACCAACAAGAAACUUCUGGAGAGGCAGCUAAGACAUGGUCGACUUGGAAAGAUCAAUAUCUCAUUGUCGGCACUGGGUCAAGCUGUCGUAGCCCCACAGGUGUGCAAUAAACCCAGAGAAACCACAGAAACGGUGUUGAACCCAGCGCCUUCAAUGUCUGGUGAUACUGAACCUCAGGUAAGAGUUGACAACAAGAAAGCCAAUAGAAGGUCAACAGAUGCAACUUUUCCUGACCUGUGUGGACCACCAUGCGAAGCUCUGACAAAGCCUGAGAACAUUUUGGUCAGCCGUUCAUCCUGGUGUUUUGUACCGCACCCUGGCCAACAACAGCUUCUCAACUAUGUUCUGGACAUCAGCAGACCCAAAGAUGAGCUGAUUGUUGAAACGUCUUCUGGAUGCCUCACGCGGGCAGAUUUUUGGACACUGGGUUUAAACAAACAAAUGGAAUCGACUAUUGGAAAUGGCUGUUUUGAGCUUAUCACUAAAAUUGUUCAGUCAAAGGGGAUAAGCAUUUACAUAGAAAAUCUGUAUGUCACCCGGACUUGGCUUGCACCCUAUGGCUGUGAUCCAUUGCAGUCCUUUCCUACUGAUGCUCAGAGGAUGGACAUCAUAGUUCUCCCUCUCUGGACACCUGGUCAUUUUCAGUUGUGUGUACUGAAGCCACCUAAAAGAGAAAUCCUCUUUCUUGACCCAUUAUACACAAAGGCAGGAUUUGGUGGCCAACAAUAUGUUUCACUUUUGAGGAAUCUUGCAGUGAAGAUCAUUCCCGGGCAGUGGUCAGAAAAAAAGAGCUUUGACUUGAAGGGUUUUCCAAGCCAAGACUAUGGAGUUGACUGUGGCAUCUUCAUGCUGAUGUCUGCUCUGUACGUGGCACUGGAUGCACCAUUUGACUAUACUAUAUCAGACAUGCCCUACUUGCGUAAAUGGUGGUGCUUGCUGUUGAUGGAGAACUUUGAUCUCAGGAGCUCUGGCAAGCUAUUUGCACACUGGAGAGAGGAAGCCAAAGCUGUGCUUGAAGGACAACACGUGCCCAUUUUCAGACUGAAAAAGCGCAAGUUCCAGGAAGUCAGUCAGGAGCCAGCAGUUGUUGAAGAUCUGCGUCCUGCUGUGCAGUGGGUUGUCCAAAAUAAGGCACUUUUCCGUGGACAUGUAACAAUGCCAAAAUAUCUGUCCUUAAAUCAAGGGGACCAGCAGAGGGUCUUAAGAGACAUGUCAGAGGAAGAAGACACUGGAGCAAGGGACUUGUUCCUCUUUGUUUUUCAGUUUGCAGAGGACAUGGAGCUCUUUUGAAAGCAUGUGCUGAUGAGCAGGGACUAAGGGUCAGUGCUAUGUUUGACAUGUAAUGGACAAAUGAAGGCACUGGCUGUUUUUGUUUGUUUGUUUGUUUGUUUGUUUAAUAUGUCGUUGCUGUUUUUUGUUUUGUUUUUGCAUAGUACAAAAUUCCAGUUAAACUUAUUUCAAAAUGUU